rnacentral:rRNA from 1 species
UACGUAGGGUGCAAGCGUUAUCCGGAAUUAUUGGGCGUAAAGAGCUCGUAGGCGGUUUGUCGCGUCUGCUGUGAAAACCCGAGGCUCAACCUCGGGCCUGCAGUGGGUACGGGCAGACUAGAGUGCGGUAGGGGAGACUGGAAUUCCUGGUGUAGCGGUGAAAUGCGCAGAUAUCAGGAAGAACACCUAUGGCGAAGGCAGCUCUCUGGGACGGUACUGACGCUGAGACGCGAAAGCGUGGGGAGCGAACAGG